rnacentral:tRNA from 1 species
GGAAGAAUGCCCGAGCGGUCGAAGGGAGCGGUUCGCUAAACCGCCACGGGGGAACGCCCCCGUCCAAGGUUCGAAUCCUUGUUCUUCCGCCA